GGAAAGUAAAAGUCGUAACAAGGUUUCCGUAGGUGAACCUGCGGAAGGAUCAUUAUUGUAUAACCGAGGUGCGAGGGCUGUCGCUGACCCGAAAGGUCGCGCACGCCCGAGUGCCCUCACACACAUCCAUCUCACCCCUAUGUGCACCACCGCGUGGGUCCCCCUUUGGCUUGUUCGGAGGGGGGCUUACGUUUUCACACAAACUUUGUAUGCAGUGUAGAAUGUAUUUUUUGUUUUUGCGAUCACGCAAUCAAUACAACUUUCAACAACGGAUCUCUUGGCUCUC
rnacentral:misc_RNA from 1 species